rnacentral:rRNA from 1 species
UAAUGAAUCGCUAACGUGCCCCGGACUCUGGGAUAGCUAUCCGAAAGGGUAGGUAAUACCGGAUGACAUCACUUUUCCGCAUGGAGAGGUGCUCAAAGGUCCGCCGGUCCGGGAGCAGGCGAUUUCGUAUCAGCUAGUUGGUGAGGUAACGGCUCACCAAGGCGACGACGCGUAGCCGGACUGAGAGGUUGGCCGGCCACAUUGGGACUGAGACACUGCCCAG